UAGGGAAUCUUCCGCAAUGGGCGAAAGCUUGACGGAGCAACGCCGCGUGAGUGAUGAAGGUCUUCGGAUCGUAAAACUCUGUUAUUAGGGAAGAACAAAUGUGUAAGUAACUAUGCACGUCUUGACGGUACCUAAUCAGAAAGCCACGGCUAACUACGUGCCAGCAGCCGCGGUAAUACGUAGGUGGCAAGCGUUCUCCGGAAUUAUUGGGCGUAAAGCGCGCGUAGGCGGUUUUUUAAGUCUGAUGUGAAAGCCCACGGCUCAACCGUGGAAGGUCAUUGGAAACUGGAAAACUUGAGUGCAGAAGAGGAAAGUGGAAUUCCAUGUGUAGCGGUGAAAUGCGCAGAGAUAUGGAGGAACACCAGUGGCGAAGGCGACUUUCUGGUCUGUAACUGACGCUGAUGUGCGAAAGCGUGGGGAUCAAACAGG
rnacentral:rRNA from 1 species